CUUGAGUGAGAGGAGGAAGUUCUGUAAAAGAAAGAGAGAAAGUCGGUGAAAAACAAGGGAGAAAACGAAGGAGAGGCAAAGGCUUGGCAGAAAGCGGACAGCUGCAAAGAUCUUCUAUAACAGUCUAUCAAUCAGAGAGAAAAACAAACCCGGUAAGGUGUGAAGCCUUAAACAUUCAAAUCUUGUCCAACCAAGUUAAGGACCGGAGCUCGAUAGCGCUACGCACGAGGGUUCGUGCCCCCGUAGUUGGUGGAACCUCCCGUGUCUCCAUAUGAUAUGUUAUGUUAUGUCAUGACUUGUUUAAACACAUAUGAUAGUUCUCUUGUACUUAUUGAGACUCGCAUCAAUCUCACCCCAUAUUUUCCCCCCAGGUGAUAGCGAAUAAGGAGAUUGGAGGACAGACGUGGAACGUGGU